GGCAGGGGAGUUACAAGAAAUAAUGAAGGAGAGAGGAAUAGGAGGAUAGCAUGCAGGAAAAUGGAAGAAUACAAUGAGCUGCUGGCAUGGGCUGAGAGCUCUGCCUAAAGAAACAACCAAACCACAGGACCCUCAAGCAGGCUUAUCGUAUUUGUUGUUCUUCUUGGGACUCUUCUCCAGUUAAGCUACAUCUCGAAAUGUGCUGCCACAACCUGGAUGCAGUACUCCAGCCUUACUGAUGCUGAGUAGAGCGGAAGGAGCUACCUCGCAUCUUAGCACAUGGUUACACGUUAUGUUGUAAGCUGCUCAAAUGUUCAUGGAUGUUAGUGCUAGCAUGAGUUUGGAGCAGUCACAUGUUCAGGCCAGCAAGGGCCUGCAGGAUUGAAAGAGGUGCUGCAUCUCCACAGAUCCUACCACGGGAGGUCUGAGCCCUCCACAGCUUGCCUGGGCUCAUGCAGUUGGGUCUUUUGCAGGAUCUAGAGCCCAAGCUUUGAGAAACGUCUACUGAUGCUGGCCAAGUGGAGGUACCUGACCGGAGCUAGAUCUUCAGAAAAAAAGCUGCAGGUUGAAUGCAGGGUGCUGACCUCUUGCAGUGCAAAGAUGACCUGGAGGGUAGCAUGGUUGCCAACUGAUGACCAUCCAGGAAGGGGUAGGACCCUGUCAACUCAAAGGUCUACUGAUCUACAGGCAGAUUGAACAGUAGGAAAUGUGGCAUCCAGCCGUGUUAGCCAUCUCUCUGUGAUUUUUGCCUGGAAUCAGAAGCUCACUGGGGAAACAACUUUCAACCACCAUCCAGUGACAGACCAAGAGAAAAGAAAGACCUUAUUUGCUUGGGUGAGACACACCAUGAUGAUAUGGAUAGUUUGGUUAACAAUCAUUUAAGUUGUGUCUGCUGCUGUAAUGGACUGUUGUUACUUUAAUGUGUGACUGACUCACAGCACUUCAAUGAUCAUAGAAUCAUAGAAAAGUUGGGCUUUUCUUGCCUCUGGAGGUCAUCUAGUCCAGCCCCCUGCCAAAGGCAGGAUCAUCCUUAUCUGAACCAUCCCAUACAAAUCCUUGCCAAACAUUACUAGAACUAUACAGUCACCCUUGACACACACUACAAAAUACAAUGCUUUACAUGCCACAGGUGGCCAGUGGUGGCCAGUGUCUUGAUCCUGUGAAGAUUGUUAACAUACCAUACCCCUUCUUCUCCAAUACAGAGGAAGGCAAAAUCCCCCACAGCCUGAACCAAUCUAAUAAUGGGGUAAAAUUCCUUCCUGACACCAAAUAUGAGUGGAGGGGCAAGCCCCUAAUGAUCUGAGUAAAGUGUUCACUAUAAGCAAACCUCAGCUAUAAAACUUAGCUACAAAUGCAACCAGGAGGAAAGUGGACGUGUUCUUUUGGCUCAGGGUGAUGCUGCUGACUUCUCUCCUUCUGGUGUAAUGACAGAGCUGAAAUUGCUAAUGUUGUGCUAAUGGAUACUGCCCCUACUUGGCUUCAAUAGAGCCAUAAUGAUGAAAGCUGGGUUAGGACGGGGAGCAUCUGAAUGUGUUGUCUUGGCUGGAGGUGACAGAGAUAGUGUGGAUGUCGAGAGGGGAUGCCAGUAAUGCAAAAUCUCAUGAAAAAAUCAUGAGACUCCUGAUUUCCAAGUCAAAUUAACUCUGACUCAUGAUCUCCUAAUCAAGAGAUCAAAUCUCGGGAUUUUUUUCAUCUGGUGCAUCUAGAGAGCACCAAGCUGGUAAGUCUGUGGAGGGGAAGGAGCAGGAGGAGAGGGAAGGGGCAGGAGGGGACAGAUCAAAACCCCCACGGUGAGGGAGGGAGUGGGGCAGGGGCUGGGGUGAAUGGGUCCCGGGGCUGGGGCAAGUCAUGCAACAGAGCCAUGGGCAGCUGUCUGUUUGUGUGCAUGUGCCUGUCUGCCCCUUACUCAAGCCACAGCCCCUGCCCCCAGCCCUGCUGAUGCCCCUCACUCCUGACCCACAGUACCCCACAACCUGCCAGGGUGUGCGGGGACUCCCCCUCCUUGGGCUCCAAACCCCAAACACACCCCACAGCCCCAAACCCCACACCCCCCCCACAGCCCCACACCCCACACUUACCUUCACAAAUCCCCUCCCCACAAUCACACUUCAGAAAUAGCAUCUCAUGAUUUACAUUCACAAUCUCUUGAUUUUUUUUAAGAGUUUGUCUCCUGGUUUUUGACACAGCAGGAUUGGCAAUACUGGGAUUCAGAGGCAUGGCAGGAUAAUACUGUGCUAUUGUUAGAGGGUUUGCAGCAGCAGCAUGGCUGCUAGAGGUAAUAGUUUAGUGAGAAGCGAUGUCCAGACAUGGUUGUCUGGGCAGAGAAACCAGGCAGAACUCUGCCAAGGGUUUGUAAUGGAGAGUCUCAGCUGUAUUUCUGGGCGCUGGGACUUCACUGACAAUGUACAGUGAAUAAAGAAAAAAAAAGGGGGGGGGGGGGAAGGAAAUGCCAAAGACUAUGUGUACACCGGAUCUUGAUGUUGGUACAUGAGGAAACGGAGAUAAAGGACUACUAAAAAUUCUGUGGGGGGUGGGUUUUAGUUACUGCCUGUAUAAGUUACUUGUAUAAGCUUACUGGUGAUUUCUUCUUGUUGUGCUUUCCCAGAUUAAUAUUUUAGUAUUUGUUUUAAUACUGACAAGAUUUCUUUUUUGCUUUGUUUUGCUUUAUACACAGGCUCAGGACUUGAUGGGGAAAGCCUGUCCAUUAAAACAAAGUCUAGCAAAGGUAUUCGCUUUCUCCUGGGUUUCUGUCUGGCAAAUCAAGGGGUGGGGAAUUGGUUCUGUUCUACUUGCUUAAGGAUUGUAGCAACGAC